UCUUCGAGGGCUUACAUCUUUUUAUGUUUUUCCUCUUGCAGUUAUUAAACAAUAUAUUGAUUCUCCCAGGACGUAUUGACUGACGUAUAUAGUCCCUCCUUUCAGGAAAAAGGUAAAGAGCAGGUGACGGCAAAACUAAAAUGCUCUGGAAUGCACCACGUGUUUUCCGGGGGCUUUUCCUCUCCUUUCCCGGUCAAAUUGCAAGGUCUUCGGUUGCAGACUUGGCAGUCCCUAUAAAUAAGACACCAAGUUAAUCAGCUCUACUUGCAAAAAACAUUUCUGUGAAUAAAACUUACAAACUUAAUUUGUCAACAGUAAGAGUUAUCUUGACGACACCGUCCAAUAAUGGCAAGACUUUCCACGUCUUCGAUCUUCUUCGUCGGGCCUCUCUUUGUAUGCUCUCUGCUUUUGAUCAUCUCAGAAGCUCGUCCUCUCGGUGUGGUAGGGUCACAUGGCUCUAUAAACAAUAGGAUUGGUACAAUAUUCUCUGACGAGAUGAACAUUGAAGGAAUUAAAAACAGCGGCCCAAGCGAAGGAGGGAGGGGCCAUGCGUUCAAGAUUGUCCACUCUUGAGAAACACAUGGUGGUCCUAGUCCUGGAGACGGGCACUGAUAUAAUAUUGAGCCAGUCUUGCUGUGCAUCAAUGAUUUUUUCAAUCUUUGUAGCAUGCGAGUAAUAUAGCAAUUCAUUCAUUCGUUUCGGUCAUUUAUUUUCAGAUAUAAAUGUAAAAUGUAACUUAUCUAGAGGUUCUAAUCAUUCCUUUUCAGAGUUCCGUGAUCUGAUAUAUAUUGAAGAACCAUUCAAGACAGAGCAAUUAUAUCUUGUCUUGUUAGUGUCUCAUUAUGAAUUUCCAAUGAUUUUUUUAAUCUUUAAUUGGUAAUGAAGCUUUCUUCAAUAAUCUCUCUUCUACGAGCACAGUUUAAUUUGUCCAACCAUGAUCAACUAGUUUACGAUCGGCUAUUGAACAUCAGAUCAUAUCGAAAAUGUUGCUCGGUGAUCCAUAGUGUUUUUGUAAGUAAGUUGAAAAGGGACCUCAUUUAACCGUAUUUAUUAGGACUAUGCCAGUACAAGCUAGCAAUCCCUUCCAUUAAUUGUCCCUUAACUUCUUCCCAUGGUUGCGCUUGUUACAUCUGUUGCAUUAAUUAGAAGGACAGAUUGAUUUGGACUUAUGAUAGCUCAGGACAAUUGUCGGUUAGCUCAUGCAGAAAGCUGAUGGAUUCAGUACUUUUACAAGGUAGUAAUCCAAUAGUUCAUAUAUUUGGAAAUCUCUAGUUCCACCGACGGUUGAAGCUUUUGUUUGGUUAGUAUCCUUGGGUAAACUUCCAACUACAGAUUUUCUUUCAAAUGAUGGAAUUAUUGUAGUAGACUACUCCUGUACAUUUUGCAAUGAAGUUCAGAAACUAGUAAUCACUUGCUCCUAAACAGUUGUAGAGUUUGGUCAUGUAUUAUGCAUUGCUGGGGGCAGUUCUUGGGCCAUUUCAAAGGAUGUUGUUGGCUUAUUUCAGUCCUAGAGAUCCUUUGCUGUCGGCAAGAUGCAAAAGAAACUUUGGUUUUUGGUUCUGUACUCAACUUUGUGGUCUAUAUGGUUAGUAAGGAAUGACUUGGUCUUUAAUCAGGUUGCACCAAACCGAGAGGAUACCUUUUUCCUGAUCUUGCACAGAGUUGCUAGUUAAAAUCAUUAAAAAAACACCUAAAAUAUAUUAAUUAGGAGAAACAAUUUAAAGGAAUGCAUUUGUUGGGCGUAAAACAAAGAGGGGGGUUUCAUUCAAGCUGCUGAACAGCACCUUGGCACAGUAUGAGAUGUUAGGCCAUCCUAUACCUAUAUAUCCAGAACCAGCACACAGGUCCAAUGUGAGUUAUCGUCCGUUAAUGCUAUAAAUCAUACUUAUGCAGUUGAAUUAAUAGACGUACUUCUACUAGAAAUGGAUUGUGUCAGGGAGGGACAAGUCCCUGUUUCCUAUGCAUGAAUGGUGGCUAUGUAUUAAUAUAUUAAAAAGCAAAGAAACUAGUGCCUGAAGAGAAUAUGUAUAACUAUAUUUUCCUGAAGAGCUUGAAAACUGGAUAUGAACAAAUUCAAGACGGUAGGACUGCUUCAAAGUGCUGUGGACGACAACCAAACUUGGCUGCUUCCUUCCGUUCUGUUCUGUUCUGUUUAUCGUUGUUCAAAGCUUUGACAGUCAAAACCAACACUUCAACCAGACUCCAAGAAACGAAAACGCUUGAUGGUUGUUGUUAGUGUAUGAUUUAGGUAUUUAUCCUCCUUAAAUUUCUGUUUGCUAACAUAUUUGUCCCACUUGAUUAGUCCAAUUUUGGAGGGCCUGUCUUUGAUAAGAAAAUAUUAUUGAAGUCAUAACCUACAUUGUUAAGAAAAAAAAAUCUUUUUCUCCUUUAAUAAUAUUCAAGCUAUGGCGUAAAGAUUAACUUGGUCUGCCGACUGAUCAUCGUCCAUUUAUAAACUAAUAAAAAUAUAAUAUGUGUGCACCGUGCACGUCUUAAUGUGAAACUAAUAAUUUUCUCUUAGCUUCUCUCUGCGGGCCGAAUUACUAUCUCUCUGUUUCAUUUUCUCUCAUUUUGUGAACGAAAAUCCAACCCAAAUCGAUCAUUUCAUCUAGUUGGUGUUGUUUUCUCUUCAUCUCCCUCCAUCUAGCGCCGCAAGGCACUGUCGGUGUAGUAGAUUUAUUCAUUAUCUCUCUCGGCAGCGAGCGAGAGGGAUAGUUUACAGUGUAGUAGAUUUGUUUCUCUGUCACGUCUGCCCAUAUUGGGUCUUAAGCAGGUGCUCCUUGCCUGCGUUGAUGUAGUAUCAAAUGCAAAUAUACAAAGAGCAGCAGGUCUAAUGCAUGUUCUGGACCAAGUGGUGCCAGCCUCUAGAGAGCCAAUCCCGCGGUUGGGUGCUUAUAUGCUGGAAGGGCAUAGGGGCAAGGUUGGAGCUCUCAGGAAGUAAAAUCUACAGAGCCUUGAAGUGUGAAGCACCAACUAGCUCAGAUUGAUGACUCAAGUUGCUAAGUCAUGCAAUGUGCCAUUUGAGUUCCAUGGUGUUGCCAUGGAUGGUUGUGAGGUUCAACUGGAACAUCUUAGGGUUCAACCUGGGAAAGCUCUCAUCAAACUCCCUCUCACCCCAAAUAUCCAAGACAUAUGCACGAAGUAUUGCAAGUAUAGGUCCCAAAACUAUGUCAUGUGAGGACAGAACCUGCUUUUUUGUCAACCUGGUAUUACACCUUUAGUGACAGCUACUUUAAAGGUGUAAGAUCUAGCAGGCGCAAGUUAGUUGAAAAAAAAAUAAUUGGAAACUUUUUCUAUUCUCUUCUGGCCCAAGGAGAGGGAAGGUUGUUUAGGAUCUUUGUAGAAUUUUGGUUGCCACUAACUGAAGUACCCUUCAGUUCUAGAAUACUUUAAUCUGAUUGUUGAUGUUCCCAUGCCUGAUGAUAUGGUGGGUGUAGGAUAUUUGAAUCAACCACUGAAAUUAUGAAAGGUUUAUGUUUUUACUUUGACAAAGCCUUGCCAGUGAUGCUUCUGUAUAAAAGUGAGCGCCAUCAGUAUGCUGAUGCAAUUAGAGACAAUGUUUCUCCCUCGAUGGUAUAUGGCGCUGAGCAUCUAUUACGCCUCUUUGAAUAUUUAAAUCAGUGAGCUAUGAUCUUGUCUUCAGGCAAUAGAUGUAGCAUCCAAUUCUAUGCAACGCUGGUUUUGAUAGGAUGCUUCAUGGUGUUCAUACCGGUACUUGAAACAUUUUUCUGUACACAAGCCUUGAGAAGCGAAGCGCAGUGUUAAGUUGCCUGAGUUAUUGGCCCAUGCAAACAACCAAGAGGAGACACUCACAGGGUUGCACAGAAAAUUAGUUGACAUUCUGAGGUAGGAACUCCCAUCUAAGUAGCUCUUUUGGCUGGACUUGUGUUCUGUAAUUACCACCUUUAUUUGUGUUUGAGUUGCCCAGGAUAGUAGUUGAUCUCAGGAGCAUAAGAUAGUUGGAUGAGAAGUCUAACUUGGACUUUGUGCACCACGAUGUACGCAAUACUUUGUUUUUAAUCUUCAAUACUUGAUGAAAAUCAUGAAUUCUGAGCUGGUAAUCUUUUUCUGGUUUGUGGCAGUUAUUAAUCCAGAUUACCACCGAAAUUAAGUGCAACUAAUUGUUUCAAAAAAAUUAACUCAGUUUAAUGUUGUGAGUAAUUCCAAGUGUUGAACUUCAUUGGAACAGCUUGUAGAAUUCAGGAGACAGUUUGCUUUGGCCUUUGUGCAUUCCACCGCGCUGAUACAUUUUCUACAGAAGAAUCAGAGUGCCUUUUAUCUUUCUACAAACCAUGCCCCAGAAGAUUCUGAAGGAAGCACCGACAAACAAGACCACUAGAUUGGGGGCUAAAGGAUGUCAAUUUGUACAAAAUACAUCAUCAAACAGAGCUAUGAUCACCAGACUUAUCUGCGCGUUUUCUAUCAUUUCGAUUAGUAUGUUAACGAGGAAGAUAUGUUAAGGUGCGCUAGACAAUGCCAUGCUCUCUGCAACCGGGGAAAAACGUAGGAAAUCAUGAAGCCUGCAUAUUCUACAGUCUUGUUAAUUUUUAAACUGUCCUUCUCUUAUCCCAGGCCAUCGUCUCCUGGAGUGCCCGAGGCUAACUGGACCCAUGCAGCAGCUGAUAUGCUGCUGCUACGAAGAGUAAAAUCAGUGAACAAUGAUGACCAAAUUACUUUAUCUGUCCAAGUCCGCUGCACCAACCCAUUUGGAGCACUGGCCCAAUUAUCUCUGCCCUUGUGUUAUUGUAUUUAACAAGAAAAGGAAAAAGAAAAAAAGAUUCGGAUCAGUUCCCUCUGUGUGCUUUGAUUGAUUGGUGGUCUUAAA